rnacentral:lncRNA from 1 species
AAAUGGAUGAUCAUCAUUUGCAUUAAAAUUACCAAAAUGGCAACCAAGAAUAGAUUGUUUACUUAAAAAGAUUGAGCCAUAAAGUUUUAUCUUUCAAAGAAAUUUGCCAAAUCAAGUUAUUGUUCACCGAGAACCCCAAAAUAACACCAACACCCUAAUCUAAACUUUACAACAAGAGGAACAACAUUUCCUCAACAGAUUUUAUCAAGAAUCAACCAAAAUUAGGAGAUGGAGUAAAAGAUUUAGUAUCUUGAAUUUGAUUUUUGAGAGGAGAAGGACCCUAAAACUGUAAAAGGAAAAGUCUCACGAAACCAAAAGCCAAAUGAAAAUUGUGUAACUUAAUGGAUGCCAGAAGGCAAAUGAGAAGAUUUAUUCCACAGAGAAUUCCAGAAACAAAUUCAACGUCCAGCAAAAAGUCAAGUGUCACAAUCAGGUAGAAGGCACUGACUAGUAAAGACGUUUCCAAAACACAACUUUAGCCCCAUUUUGGGAGCACAAACUUCAGAC